GACAGCCGCAGCCUUACCUGCCCGGCGCUCGCCCGCCGUCCGGCUCGGCGGUGGCGGCCUCCCGCCUUCUCUGGGUCCCCCUCUCUGCGCCCCACCCCGAGGGGGGCGGCGGGGUGGGCGUGGGGCGCCGGGGACCGGCCGGACCUGUGGGACCCGGGGCUGUCUGGGGAGCCGGUCCCCGGAGGCAGCCGGCUCUUCCGGGGCCGGGACGCCCGUGGGCGGCGGGAGCCCCAGGCGGCCGCGCAUAAAUACGGCCGCACCCCGGCCGCCGGACAACCGAGCCCCCGAGCGCGCCCCCGACGGCGAGCCCCCGAGCGCGCCUCCCACGGUGAGCCCCCAGCGCGCCCCCGACGGCGAGUCCCCCCAGCGCGCCCCCACGCAUCAGCUCCGCCACGCCCCUCACAGACUUCUCAGUCAUUCGGCCUCCCUCCCCCACGGACACCCUGACAGACAGACCAACAGACGGACGGACAGACGGCCCUGCCUGGCAUCGGUCCCUUCUCCAGCCUCCGUGGGACCCACCGACGGAACCUGAUCUCCUCCCUGUGUCCGACUCUCUUCCCGCCACCCCCCACCAUGACCCCCUUCCUGGCACGCUGGCUCUCCUGCCUGCUCCUGCUCUCCUCCCUGGGAGCCCAGGGGAACCCGCAAUACCCUCGUGUUAGCCCGGAGCAAGUCCAUCUGUCCUACCCAGGUGAGCCCGGCGCCAUGACAGUGACCUGGACCACGUGGGCGCCGGCCCGGUCGGAGGUGCAGUUCGGCACGCAGCUGUCGGGGCCGCUCCCGUUCCGCGCCCACGGCAGCGCCAGCACCUUCGUGGACGGGGGAGCCCUGCGCCGCAAGCUCUACAUCCACCGCGUGACGCUGCAGAAGCUGGUGCCGGGGGCCCAGUACGUUUACCGCUGUGGCAGCUCUCAGGGGUGGAGCCGGCGGUUCCGCUUCACGGCCCUGAAGAGCGGGGUUCAGUGGAGCCCUCGCCUGGCUGUGUUUGGGGACAUGGGGGCCGACAACCCCAAGGCCCUGCCCAGGCUUCGGAGGGACACCCAGCAGGGCCUGUUUGAUGCGGUGCUCCAUGUGGGAGACUUUGCCUACAACAUGGACCAGGACAACGCUCGAGUCGGGGACCGGUUCAUGCGGCUCAUUGAGCCCGUGGCCGCCAGCCUGCCCUACAUGACCUGCCCCGGGAACCACGAGCAGCGCUACAAUUUCUCUAACUACAAGGCUCGCUUCAGCAUGCCGGGAGACAACCAAGGCCUGUGGUACAGCUGGGACUUGGGUCCUGCGCAUAUCAUCUCGUUCUCCACGGAGGUGUAUUUCUUUCUGCACUAUGGCCGGCACCUGGUGGAGAGGCAGUUCCGCUGGCUGGAGCAGGACCUGCAGAAAGCCAACAGGAACCGGGAGGCCCGACCGUGGAUCAUCACAAUGGGGCACCGGCCCAUGUACUGCUCCAACGCCGACCUGGACGACUGCACAAGGCAUGAGAGCAGGGUCCGCAAAGGCCUCCAAGGCAAGCUCUUUGGGCUAGAAGACCUUUUCCAUAAAUACGGCGUGGACCUGGAGUUCUGGGCUCACGAACACUCCUACGAGCGACUGUGGCCGAUUUACAACUACCAGGUACUUAACGGCAGCCAGGAAAAGCCCUAUACCAACCCUCGAGGCCCGGUUCACAUCAUCACAGGAUCUGCGGUGAGCAGGGCUGUGAGGAGCUGCUGACUCCCUUCGUCAGGAAACCGCGACACUGGAGCGCCAUCCGAGUGAAGGAGUAUGGGUACACGAGGCUCCACAUUCUGAACGGCACGCACAUGCACAUCCAGCAGGUGUCUGAUGACCAGGAUGGGAAGAUUGUGGAUGACGUCUGGAUCAUUAGACCUUUGCUUGGCCGGAUGAUGUAUCACUGAGACUGGGCUCCCUCACGAAGAUGGUUGGCUGCCAUGACCACGGCAGCAUCCUGGCCUGGGUGGGGAGUCAGGGCAGGACCCUGCUCCCCCACCAUCGGAAGCCCAAGGCCAGACAGCUCUCGCCUCCUGGAGAGGUGGGGGCUAGGCUGGCCGGAGAGGGAGGGCAGGCAUGUGGGCCCCAGCAGGCCUGCACUCUGCCAGCAUCCCCCUCCCGUCCGCUCUGACAGGGCAGGGGACCUGUGUGCCUCAGAAUAAAGAGGCUUACAGCCGUGGUUCCUGGACUCAAACUCCCAGUAGGCCAUGUGUCCCUUUGCCCCCGCUGAAGGGUGCCCUGUGCUGGGAUCAGAAGGUGGGCACCGCCGUCCUGACCGGACUUGCCAGCAGAUUACUCCGAUUUCUGUCUUCCCACCCUAACCGGGCUUCUGAGCUGAUAGCCCAGGAAGUGCUGCCGGAUGUCCCUUUGUGCCUCAGUUUCCCAGCCAGCACUGUGUUCUCCAGGUGGAGAGGACAGCGUAAUGCUGUCACCUCCUCCAAGGCAAAGCUGAGAAGCCUCAGGAGCACACAGAUGGGCCACUUCCCUCUCUCCGGGCCGCUGUCCUCGUCUUCCUUUCACAUAGCCUGCCAGGAUUGGUUGAGCAUCUAUUAUGUGCCGGGGGCCGGAGCAAGACAGACCUCUCCCUUUGCAGUGCAGACACAGACAUGGAAGCAGAGACUUGAACAGCAACCAGCUUACAGGGGAUAAGAGCUCGGGGUGGGGGUGGGGCAGAAGGAAAGGAAACAGUGUCGGUUUGCAGGGAGAUGUGUGACAUUUGGACCAAAGCUGACGGUAGAGGACACAGGUCGUGCAGCAGAGUGCAGACAGGUCAAAGGCCGAGAGGCAGAACUGUGCUGUCCCCGUUGGCGGAGGAGGCUGCUGUGCCUGUGGCAGGGAGAGGGGAGAGGACAGAGCAGUGACAGACAAUGGGCGUGGCUCCCUGCGGGCUGCGAGGAGGACUUUGGAUGGAGCCGUGGGAUGGUCUAGCUGACCCCAGUGGACUGGCCACCUCAUGGCUGUUACUGUGUUGCGUUGCGCUGAGCAGCUCCUUUCCCAGCCUCUUCGGGCCCUAACCUCACUUGCCUGUCGCUCCGUCCAAGGCUCAUGGACCUUUGCAAGGCCAGUGCACUCGCUGCCUGACCUCCCACUCUCUGGAGGGCCUCCGGGUUGGACGCCCCGCCCCUCCCUUUUUCAGGCAGGCCCUCGUGUAGUCCAGGCUGGCCCUCAACCCCCUUUGUAUGUGAGGAUGUCCUUGAGCUGGGUGUGAACUACUGAGUCUGGCUCGGGCUGACGUCUUUUCUAGCUUACGUUUCCUCCCUCUUAUCGACUCCUCACAUCCUCCCCUGAUGGCCCCCUUUAGACCGGGUCUCUGGGGCUCCAUCUAUCCUUCAGUCCCCAGGGUCCUCACUGCCUGCCUCGUUCUUGAGUCAUCGUCUGUCUCCUUCCCGGGCGAGGCACUCUGACGGCGACCAGUGGCGCCUUGUCCACACUUGAGUCUAUCCCUUCCAUUUAAUCCUACCAGGUCGGGCUGGGAUCCUCAGUCUUGCCUUCCCGGCCCUGCCUGUUCUAGGUCAUCGCUGGCCUGGGGUGGGCGUCUCUCGGCCUCCUAUUGGACUGCUGACGCUAAGGAGGACAGGGCUCAGGGUGGCCCAAUACGGCAGAGGCCCUAGGAAGGUCAUCACAUGCCAAGCUCUGACCGCGUCGGGGACACUGAUGAAUCAGGCAGAGAAACCAGGUCACCCAACCCGGAUGAUACACACCGGGAGAAUGCCGACCAAGGUGUGUUGUGAGGACCAGCUCAAGGCCGUGGAGCUGAGGGCUGCCGAGGGCCACCGGUGCCACUGUAGGCUCAGCGCCCGGCAGGCACAGUCCAGAGAGGGCCAAGGCCUGCAGCCGGGCAGCACCGGGGGCCCAAGCCCAGCUUCGCCACUUCCUGAGCGACAAUUGCAAGUCAUGGUCCUCUGUGAACCUGUCUCUUCAUCUGCAUGUAGAGAAGGAGCCUCCCUCCCCUCCUCCCUCUUUCCCUCCUUUUCCUCCCUCCCCUCCUCCCCCUUUCCCUCCUUUUCUCCUCUCCUGCUUUCCCUCCAACUCCGAAUCCUAUUUCUUCCCUCAUAUCCAGUCACUGACAAACAUGCCAAUCCACCCCCCUCCCCUUUUUUUUGUCAUGACGAGUGAAAUAUUUCCCGCCCUCCUCACAGGCUUGAUCUAUCGCUCUUCUUGGCUCUCCCGUGCCAGACCUACAGGCAUGCACCAUUGCUUCUGGCUGCCGCCCUGUUUGCU